CCUACGGGUGGCAGCAGUGAGGAAUAUUGGUCAAUGGACGAGAGCCUGAACCAGCCAAGUAGCGUGAAGGAUGACUGCCCUAUGGGUUGUAAACUUCUUUUAUAUGGGAAUAAAAUGCUCCAUGUGUGGGAUUUUGUAUGUACCAUAUGAAUAAGGAUCGGCUAACUCCGUGCCAGCAGCCGCGGUAAUACGGAGGAUCCGAGCGUUAUCCGGAUUUAUUGGGUUUAAAGGGAGCGUAGGUGGAUUGUUAAGUCAGUUGUGAAAGUUUGCGGCUCAACCGUAAAAUUGCAGUUGAAACUGGCAGUCUUGAGUACAGUAGAGGUGGGCGGAAUUCGUGGUGUAGCGGUGAAAUGCUUAGAUAUCACGAAGAACUCCGAUUGCGAAGGCAGCUUACUGGACUGCAACUGACACUGAGGCUCGAAAGUGUGGGUAGCAAACAGGAUUAGAUACCCUUGUAGUC
rnacentral:rRNA from 1 species